UAAUAAGUGUUUUAUGGCACUUGUUUAAAUCCAUAUCCACCUUGUGUGCAAUGUCAGUCGAUCUUCUUCAUGGAGAUCGACCAACCAUCACCUUAUCUUUUAACUCUUUGUCUGAAAAAUAUUAUGAAUAAACAAUUCAAAAUA
rnacentral:misc_RNA from 1 species